UAACGUAACGAGAAAUGUCUGUGCCAUUGC
rnacentral:piRNA from 1 species